GAUGAAGAACGUAGCGAAAUGCGAUAAGUAAUGUGAAUUGCAGAAUUCAGUGAAUCAUCGAAUCUUUGAACGCACAUUGCGCCCGCUAGUAUUCUGGCGGGCAUGCCUGUUCGAGCGUCAUUUCAACCAUCAAGCCCUGUUUAGGCUUGUGUUGGGGCCCUGCGGCUGCCGCAGCCCCCUAAAUGCAGUGGCGGGCUCGUUGUCACUCCGAGCGCAGUAGCAUAUCUCGCUCUGGGCGUGGCGGCGGGUGCUAGCCGUGAAACACCCACUAAGGUUGACCUCGGAUCAGGUAGGAAUACCCGCUGAACUUAAGCAUAUCAAUAAGCGGAGGA
rnacentral:misc_RNA from 1 species